rnacentral:rRNA from 1 species
UAGAGUUUGAUCCUGGCUCAGGAUGAACGCUGGCGGCGUGCUUAACACAUGCAAGUCGAACGGACUUAUAUUGAAACCUAGUGAAAUAUAAGUUAGUGGCGGACGGGUGAGUAACGCGUGGAUAACCUGCCGUAUACAGGGGGAUAACACUUAGAAAUAGGUGCUAAUACCGCAUAAGCGCACAGCUUCGCAUGAAGCAGUGUGAAAAACUGAGGUGGUAUACGAUGGUUCCGCGUCUGAUUAGCUAGUUGGUGGGGUAAUGGCCUACCAAGGCGACGAUCAGUAGCCGACCUGAGAGGGUGACCGGCCACAUUGGGACUGAGACACGGCCCAAACUCCUACGGGAGGCAGCAGUGGGGAAUAUUGCACAAUGGGGGAAACCCUGAUGCAGCAACGCCGCGUGAGUGAAGAAGUAUUUCGGUAUGUAAAGCUCUAUCAGCAGGGAAGAAGAUGACGGUACCUGAUUAAGAAGCCCCGGCUAACUACGUGCCAGCAGCCGCGGUAAUACGUAGGGGGCAAGCGUUAUCCGGAUUUACUGGGUGUAAAGGGAGCGCAGACGGCAGUGCAAGUCUGGAGUGAAAGCCCGGGGCCCAACCCCGGGACUGCUCUGGAAACUGUGCGGCUAGAGUACUGGAGGGGCAGGCGGAAUUCCUAGUGUAGCGGUGAAAUGCGUAGAUAUUAGGAGGAACACCAGUGGCGAAGGCGGCCUGCUGGACAGUAACUGACGUUGAGGCUCGAAAGCGUGGGGAGCAAACAGGAUUAGAUACCCUGGUAGUCCACGCCGUAAACGAUG